rnacentral:rRNA from 1 species
UUAGUGGCGGACGGGUGUGUAACGCGUGGGUAACCUGCCUUACACAGGGGGAUAACACUUAGAAAUAGGUGCUAAAACCGCAUAAGCGCACAGCUUCGCAUGAAGCGGUGUGAAAAACUCCGGUGGUGUAAGAUGGACCCGCGUCUGAUUAGCUUGUUGGCGGGGUAACGGCCUACCAAAGCGACGAUCAGUAGCCGGCCUGAGAGGGCGGACGGCCACACUGGGACUGAGACACGGCCCAGACUCCUACGGGAGGCAGCAG